GAUGAACGCUAGCGGGAGGCUUAACACAUGCAAGUCGAACGGCAGCACGGGCUUCGGCCUGGUGGCGAGUGGCGCACGGGUGCGUAACGCGUAUGCAACCUGCCUUAUGCAGGGGGAUAGCCCAUGGAAACGUGGAUUAAUACCCCAUAGUAUGAUUUUUCUGCAUGGAAAAAUGAUUAAAACUUCGGUGGCAUAAGAUGGGCAUGCGUAUGAUUAGCUAGUUGGUGAGGUAACGGCUCACCAAGGCAACGAUCAUUAGGGGUUCUGAGAGGAUUAUCCCCCACACUGGUACUGAGACACGGACCAGACUCCUAUGGGAGGCAGCAGUGAGGAAUAUUGGUCAAUGGGCGAGGGCCUGAACCAGCCAUCCCGCGUGCAGGAUGACGGCCCUACGGGUUGUAAACUGCUUUUCUACUCCAAGAAACCCCCGCUCGUGAGCGGGGUUGCCGGUAGAGUAGGAAUAAGCAUCGGCUAACUCCGUGCCAGCAGCCGCGGUAAUACGGAGGAUGCAAGCGUUAUCCGGAUUCAUUGGGUUUAAAGGGUGCGCAGGUGGGCUUGUAAGUCAGUGGUGAAAUGCUGCCGCUUAACGGUAGAAUUGCCAUUGAUACUG
rnacentral:rRNA from 1 species